UACGUAGGGGGCAAGCGUUGUCCGGAUUUAUUGGGCGUAAAGAGCGUGUAGGCGGCCAUACAGGUCAGCUGUGAAAACUCGAGGCUCAACCUCGAGACGUCGGUUGAAACCGUAUGGCUAGAGUCCGGAAGAGGAGAGUGGAAUUCCCGGUGUAGCGGUGAAAUGCGCAGAUAUCGGGAAGAACACCCGUGGCGAAGGCGGCUCUCUGGGACGGUACUGGACGCAUAGACGCGAAAGCGUGGGGAGCGAACGAGG
rnacentral:rRNA from 1 species